AUUCCUACGGGAGGCAGCAGUGGGGAAUAUUGGACAAUGGGGGCAACCCUGAUCCAGCCAUGCCGCGUGAGUGAAGAAGGCCCUAGGGUUGUAAAGCUCUUUCAGAUGUGAGGAUGAUGACAGUAGCAUCAGAAGAAGCACCGGCUAACUUCGUGCCAGCAGCCGCGGUAAUACGAAGGGUGCUAGCGUUGUUCGGAAUUACUGGGCGUAAAGGGCGUGUAGGCGGAUGAUCAAGCUAGGGGUGAAAGCCCAGGGCCCAACCCUGGAACUGCCUUUAGAACUGAUUGUCUAGAAUCCGUAAGGGGAGUGUGGAAUUCCUAGUGUAGAGGUGAAAUUCGUAGAUAUUAGGAAGAACACCAGUGGCGAAGGCGGCACUCUGGUACGGUAUUGACGCUGAGGCGCGAAAGCGUGGGGAGCAAACAGGAUUAGAUACCCUGGUAGUCCACGCCGUAAACGAUGUCUGCUAGCCGUUUGGACACUUGGUGUCUGGGUGGCGCCGCUAACGCAUUAAGCAGACCGCCUGGGGAGUACGGUCGCAAGAUUAAAACUCAAAGGAAUUGACGGAA
rnacentral:rRNA from 1 species